AAUAGAUACCCCGGUAGUCCACGCCGUAAACGAUGAGUGCUAAGUGUUAGAGGGUUUCCGCCCUUUAGUGCUGCAGCUAACGCAUUAAGCACUCCGCCUGGGGAGUACGGCCGCAAGGCUGAAACUCAAAGGAAUUGACGGGGGCCCGCACAAGCGGUGGAGCAUGUGGUUUAAUUCGAAGCAACGCGAAGAACCUUACCAGGUCUUGACAUCCUCUGCCAACCCUAGAGAUAGGGCGUUCCCCUUCGGGGGACAGAGUGACAGGUGGUGCAUGGUUGUCGUCAGCUCGUGUCGUGAGAUGUUGGGUUAAGUCCCGCAACGAGCGCAACCCUUGAUCUUAGUUGCCAGCAUUCAGUUGGGCACUCUAAGGUGACUGCCGGUGACAAACCGGAGGAAGGUGGGGAUGACGUCAAAUCAUCAUGCCCCUUAUGACCUGGGCUACACACGUGCUACAAUGGAUGGUACAAAGAGCAGCGAACCCGCGAGGGUAAGCCAAUCUCAUAAAGCCAUUCUCAGUUCGGA
rnacentral:rRNA from 1 species